rnacentral:tRNA from 1 species
GGGGAUAUGGCGGAAUUGGUAGACGCGACGGACUUAAAAUCCGUCAGUAGUAAAUACUGUGAGGGUUCAAGUCCCUCUAUCCCCA